AUUGAACGCUGGCGGCAUGCCUAACACAUGCAAGUCGAACGAGUGGCGGACGGGUGAGUCAUGUCUGGGAAACUGCCCGAUGGAGGGGGAUCACUACUGGAAACGGUAGCUAAUACCGCAUCCCAUCGGAUGUGCCCAGAUGGGAUUAGCUAGUCGGUGGGGUAACGGCUCACCUAGGCGACGAUCCCUAGCUGGUCUGAGAGGAUGACCAGCCACACUGGAACGGAGACACGGUCCAGACUCCUACGGGAGGCAGAAGUGGGGAAUAUGGCACAAUGGGCGCAAGCCUGAUGAAGCCAUGCCGCGUGUAUGAAGAAGGCAUUCGGGUUGUAAAGUACUGUCAGCGAGGAGGCGUUACUCGCAGAAGAAGCACCGGCUAACUCCGUGCCAGCAGCCGCGGUAAUAC
rnacentral:rRNA from 1 species